rnacentral:rRNA from 1 species
AGACGUAGGGGGCUAGCGUUGCCCGGAUUCACUGGGCGUAAAGCGCGCGUAGGCGGUUCGGCAAGUCGCCCGUGAAAGCCCCUGGCUCAACUGGGGGAGGUCGGGCGAUACUGCCGGGCUAGAGGGCGGCAGAGGGAGGUGGAACGGCCGGAGUAGCGGUGAAAUGCGUAGAUACCGGCCGGAAUCCCGAUGGCGAAGGCAACCUCCUGGGCCGUUCCUGACGCUGAGGCGCGAAAGCUGGGGAAGCGAACCGGAUUAGAUACCCUAGUAGUCC